rnacentral:miRNA from 1 species
CCUGUUUGUCAUUAAGUUUCUU